AGAGAUUUAGGUUAACACCAGACCAAGAGCCUUCAAAGCUCUCAGCGAAGGUGAAAAUCCUUCAAUCCCUG
rnacentral:tRNA from 1 species